rnacentral:rRNA from 1 species
UACGGAGGGUGCAAGCGUUAUCCGGAUUCACUGGGUUUAAAGGGCGCGUAGGCGGGUAGAUAAGUCAGUGGUGAAAUCUCCGAGCUUAACUCGGAAACUGCCAUUGAUACUAUUUAUCUUGAAUAUUGUGGAGGUAAGCGGAAUAUGUCAUGUAGCGGUGAAAUGCUUAGAUAUGACAUAGAACACCAAUUGCGAAGGCAGCUUACUACACAAUGAUUGACGCUGAGGCACGAAAGCGUGGGGAUCAAACAGG